rnacentral:rRNA from 1 species
UACGUAGGGGGCGAGCGUUAUCCGGAUUUACUGGGUGUAAAGGGAGCGUAGACGGCAAUGCAAGUCUGAAGUGAAACCCCAAGGCUCAACCAUGGGCAUGCUUUGGAAACUGUGUAGCUAGAGUGCAGGAGAGGCAGGCGGAAUUCCUAGUGUAGCGGUGAAAUGCGUAGAUAUUAGGAGGAACACCAGUGGCGAAGGCGGCCUGCUGGACUGAAACUGACGUUGAGGCUCGAAGGCGUGGGGAGCAAACA